UUUACUUUCAACUACCUUUUAACAAAGACAUUUGUUUUAUUGUUUUUUAAGAUUCAAACUGGAAACCACUUAUCAGUUAAUAUGUUGAAAAGAUUUUAUGUAUUGACAGCUGAACACUAAUAUGUCAAAUGUAGUGCAAAUUUGCCUCACAUGUUUUAUUGGAAUUAUAGAUUUUUGAGUCCAUUAAAUUAUCUACUCCAUCUCUAGCUUCCUUGGAUAUUGAAAAGAGCUUUUCCUUUCACUCUUCUUGUAUCAUUUAUUAUAUCCAGAAAGCUAUAUGUGAUCUCUCAUCAUGAUUUUAAGCCUUGCCAAUAUAUUUAGAGGAAUAAAAAAUUAUCAGUUUUCAGCUUAUCAAAAAUACAACAAAUUAGAGGGGAAGGCAGGGAAGGAACAUUUCAUUUCACUUUACUCAGAUUAUGCAUAUGGCUCUGUCUUGGACACAUCACUGAUGCUAUUGGAUCUAUUCUCACCUAUUAAAAGAAGAUUCAUGCUUACUGAUAGAAAUCUGUAGAAAAUUAUGUUGUUAAAUGUCUAAGCCAUAAAUAUGAUCUGGAAAAGUUACUUGUCAAUUAGUUUUCUACAAAUAAGUAGAAUGUUCUAUUGUGACUUAAAUUAAUUGUAAUGUAAACAACUAUUACAGGGUUGUUUAGUAGGCAAAAUAAUGACCUCUUUUAAAGAUGUCCCUGUUCCAAUCUCUGGAAACUGAAUAUGUUGCCUUAUGUGACAAAAGUUAUUUUGCAGUAGUGAUUAAAUUAUGGAUUUUGAGACAGGAAGGUUAUCUUGGAUUAGCUGGAUGAACCCAAGAAGGAUGCAGUAGAGUGACAGAAGUGAGGAUGAUAGAAGCAGAGGUCAAAAAAGAGAAGGCCAGUUGCAGUGGCUCACGCCUGUAAUCGCAGCACUUUGAGAGGCCUAGAUGUGCAGAUCACCUGAGGUCAGCAGUUUGAGACCAGCCUGGCCAACAUGGUCAAAACCUGUCUCUACUAAAAAUACGAAAAUUAGCUGGUCAGUUAUAGGACGAUAGAAAGUUGGGAAGACUGUGACUCAUAUAGCACAUGCCCUACCUAAAGGAUUCAAAUAUUGUUAAAACUCUGAGAGAAAAACAAAACAGAGCUUGUUACCCUGUUUAUUCUUCCCUCAUAACCUCUAUCACCCUCAAAAUAUCCAAAUAGACUCAUUCUGAGUACACACAGUAUGAUUACCAAGCAAAUGCAGCCUUCUGAGUUCUUUAGUCCCUUUCAGCCAGAUUAUUGAUUUCAAACUCUUCCUGUUUAUAAAUUCCAGAACAUCUACCUAAGGAAUUCAUCUUUAUCCAAACUCUUUCAACUUUUAAAUGUGAUCCACUGACCAGCAGCAUCAGCAUCACCAGAGAACCAGUUAAAAUGCAAACUCUCUGGUCCUGUCCCAAACAAACAAUCUGAAUCAGAAACUGUUUCACAAGCCCUCCAGCAACACCUCCAGAUGCCCGUGUCACAAGGUAUGGACAGAAUGAGUAAAAAUUGUCCAAGUCUGCACAGCUAGUAGGCUGUAGAACCAGGAUUCAUACCCACACAGCCUGACUUCAGAGACUGUACUCUGCCACACUGUGCUGCUUCUUUUGUCUAGCAAGGAAGGCUUUGGCUGUUUCAGGGGCAGCAGCUUCAGCAGAAGUAGGAGAACACCAGACAAUGCUGACUCUCCCGUGAGGUGACCAUAGACAGCCUAGGCUAGAAGGUGGCAUUAGGCACUGUUCAAAGCAACUCCCAACAACCUGGACAAGAUGAGGAUUCUGAUGCUUAGAUAAAUAAGGUAACUUGGCAAAGUCAGACAUUUAUUAGUUUGAUGUUUUCUCUUCUUUAGUGGGGAAGCUGUGCAUGUUCAGGACAGUCUAACAAGAUAGACUACUAGUCAUAUUUUGCAUAUAGGUAAGACUAACAUGAUUAUGACAGACUUCCAGUGUGAGGCUUCCGAUUCUCUGAA